rnacentral:rRNA from 1 species
UACGGGGGGGGCAAGCGUUGUUCGGAAUUACUGGGCGUAAAGGGCUCGUAGGCGGCCAACUAAGUCAGACGUGAAAUCCCUCGGCUUAACCGGGGAACUGCGUCUGAUACUGGAUGGCUUGAGGUUGGGAGAGGGAUGCGGAAUUCCAGGUGUAGCGGUGAAAUGCGUAGAGAUCCGGAGGAACCCCAGAGGCGAAGGCGGCGCCCUGGCUCGCAACUGACGCUCAGACACGACAGCAUGGGGAGCGAACGGG